AACAAAAAAAAAAAAAAGAAAAGCAAAGCAAGCCCAGAUCAAAUAUGAUUCAUAGAAGCAAAUGCAGGAAUCAAAUUUAACAUGUAAUUCAUCCCAGUAAUCAUUACUACCAAGCCAUAACCUCUACAAAAGACCUAUAAAUUCUUAAUCAUGCCAAAAAAAGUGACAAAACAGCCGAAAUUAGGUACAAAAGCUUAGAACAGAUGAAUCUUCGAAGAGAGAAAAGGAAAAACUCAAAGUCGACAGAGAACAAGAGAAAUUAGUCAGGACUAGGGCUUUUACCGGUAGCGAAGACGCGAUCUCCG
rnacentral:misc_RNA from 1 species